rnacentral:rRNA from 1 species
GGAGCAUGUGGUUUAAUUCGAUGAUACGCGAAGAACCUUACCGGGGUUUGACAUGCGAGGUGAUCGCCGUUGAAAGACGGUUUCCUCUUCGGAGGCACCUGCACAGGUGCUGCAUGGCUGUCGUCAGCUCGUGUCGUGAGAUGUUGGUUAAGUCCCGCAACGAGCGCAACCCCUAUUGCCAGUUAAUUUCUCUGGCGAGACUGCCCUGCAAAACGGGGAGGAAGGUGGGGAUGACGUCAAGUCAGCACGGCCCUUAUGCCUUGGGCGACACACACGCUACAAUGGGUGGUACAAUGGGUUGCAAUAGAGCGAUCUGGAGCUAAUCCUAAAAACCAUCCUCAGUUCAGAUUGCAGGCUGAAACCCGCCUGCAUGAAGCUGGAGUUGCUAGUAACUGCAGGUCAGCAUACUGCGGUGAAUACGUUCUCGGGCCUU